rnacentral:lncRNA from 1 species
ACUUCUGGCCUCGAGCACGGUAACAUGGAAUCCUUGGCGUUUCAGGUGCCGUGCUGCGGUUAGGCCAGCAGGACCAGCACCGACAACAAUUAUUCCUUUUUUCCCUUUUGCAUCACAACAUGUGUUUUGCCUCUGACAACAAUUAUUCUUUUUUUCCCUUUUGCAUCACAACAUGUGUUUUGCCUCUGCCUCCCGAAUGAGUCAGGUGGGAAUCCACAAUUAUCUUCUGAAAUCACAAGAUGUUUAUCGGCUGUUCUACCAUCAAUCUCUGUAUUGUUAGGAGGCGA